rnacentral:pre_miRNA from 1 species
UUAACUCAAAUUUGUAUGGAGUUGGAACGUCUGCCUACGUUUGCCGCUAAGAGCGUUGUUUCAAUUGUAUAAAGUUUGAGUUA